CAGGACCAAAUCAAAAGGUCUGAAAAACUAUAUUGCUUGUCCUAAUGUGUAAAUUUCAACAAUUUGCAAAUUUGUAGAUUCUUUAGAAUGGAACUAACUCAAGCCCUUCAUUCUGCAGCUGAGGCUCACUGCCCCCAGUGGGCAGUGGGUCCGGGGGUUUCUGAGGCCAGGGCAUGGCCCAGUCCUGCUGCCCCCAGGAUGGCACCUGGCUUGGAAGCGUGAGGGGCCCUGUUAGUCUGACUUUGAAGAAGACCAGCCUUCCAGACUCGCUUGGUGCCCUGCCAGAAGCCCUGGGCUCCCCCAGUGUUGCCUGGAUCUGACUUUGCCUCAGUGAAAACCACCUCGAAUUCUUUCUUGCACCGAUGGGCAGAUGGGCAGUGUCAGAGAAUCGUGUCGUCUGCCCUGUGGCGCUGGUUGGCUUGGUCAAAUCAGUGUUCAAACUAUCUCCUGCCGUUUCAAGAGGAUCUAGGGCUCUAGAAGAUUAGAGGACUUUGAGAGGUUAGUGACUUGCCCAAGAUCGGCUAGGAAGCAAGACCCAGGAUUCCAACUCAGGUCUGUGUGAUUCCUCUGCAAAAUGGAGAGGUGGAAGGAUGGAUGUCAGGUCUGAGGGAGGGAUGGAUGCCUGCAUCAAGAUGCAUGCAUAGAUGGAGAGAUGACUGGCUACCUGAUGAAUGCUGGUUAUAUGGAUGAGUGAGUUGAAGCACAGGUGGUGGAAGGAGAGAGGAAUGAGAGAGAAUAGUCAAUUUCUCACCAAGAUCAAAGGCUUACUUGAUCUUUGAAGAGAGGUUCCCUCUGAAUGGAGCUCGCUGGUGAAGCUCCUGCCUUCUGUUCUGCUUCUGAGCACACUGACUGGCUCAGGUGGCUCUGGGACAACAGGUGGGAUGCCAGCUUACAGGGACCAAGUCCCAGCUGUGGUGCUGGAGCUGCUCAGUGGCAACUCUCUGUCUCUGCUGCUUUCAUGCAGCACUGAGGGAAUAGCAGGCAUCCGUCUUUCCACUGGCUCUCCUGGAUGACUAAGCCCUAAGCCCCAACUGCAUACUCAGCCCUUCGCUGGCACUUGGCAUAAUUUUAUCUCCUCUAAAUCAUCACAGCCACCCUCCACGAUAGCAAUUUCCAUUCUCAAUUAAGUGAAAAGGAAACCGAAGUUUGGGAGUGGUAAGUGACUUACCCGAAAUCAUAGAGGGAGGAAAUGCAGACCCAGGAUUUGAACUCAAGUCUUCUUUCCUUCCAAACUCAUCCGCUCAACCUGUUUAUCUCCUUUUCUCUGUGACCGUGUCUGAAGAAAUCUGCCUUGGGGUUGUCUUAUGCUGGACUCACUCUCUUGGUCUGUCAGUGAGCUGAACUUCUCAUCCAAUCAAAUCCAAGCUUAUUUCCCAAGUAAUAUCUCUAGUGUAUUCUAUUUGUAAUGAUCACACAAGCAAGGGCCACACAUAUCACUGGCAUCCUACAGUACAAUUAAUCAAGUCAAAUUAGAUUCCUGGCAUCUCAUAUUCUGACUGAAUGCUAAUGGUAGCAGAUGUAAAAAUGAGUCCAUUGCAAGGCAAGGAGGGAGGGGACUGGGUGGAGGGCUGAAUGGUGAAUCAGUAAGCCUCGCUGCAGACCUGGGUUAAUAUUAGCGGAUAGGUUUUGAGAACCUGCUUAUGGGCUAGGCCCUGCUUCACACACUCUAGGUGCUAGGGUUUCAAUCUCAGCUUUGCCAUUGACUACUUUCAUGAGUUUGGACAAGGUAUUUAAUUUCCGUGCCCCGUUUUCUUCAGUUCUACCAAUAGUACUUUACUAAUACCAAUAGUACCUUACUAAUGAGUACUUGAGGAUUAAAUGAGGCAAACAUAUAAAUUCUUUAAAAGAGAGCAUUCCAGGCUGGGCAUGGUGGCUUGUGCCUGUAAUCCCAGUACUUUGGGAGGCUGAGGUGGGAGGAUCCGUUGAGCCCAGGAGUUUGAGACCAGCCUGAGAAACAUAGGGAGACCCCAAUCUCUACAAAAUAUUUAAAAAUUAUCUGGGUGUAGUGGUGCACAUCUGUGGUCCUAGUUACCUGGGAGGCUGAGAUGGGAAGAUUGCUUGGGCCUGGGAGGUCAAGGCUGCAGUGAGCCAUGAUUGUGCCACUGUACUUUAGCCUGGGUGACAGAGGGAAACGCUGUCUCCAAAAAAAACAAAAACAAAAACAAAAAAAA
ensembl:lncRNA